CCUACGGGAGGCAGCAGUGGGGAAUAUUGCACAAUGGGCGCAAGCCUGAUGCAGCGACGCCGCGUGAGGGAUGACGGCCUUCGGGUUGUAAACCUCUUUCAGUAGGGAAGAAGCGAAAGUGACGGUACCUGCAGAAGAAGCGCCGGCUAACUACGUGCCAGCAGCCGCGGUAAUACGUAGGGCGCAAGCGUUAUCCGGAAUUAUUGGGCGUAAAGAGCUCGUAGGCGGUUUGUCGCGUCUGCCGUGAAAGUCCGGGGCUCAACUCCGGAUCUGCGGUGGGUACGGGCAGACUAGAGUGAUGUAGGGGAGACUGGAAUUCCUGGUGUAGCGGUGAAAUGCGCAGAUAUCAGGAGGAACACCGAUGGCGAAGGCAGGUCUCUGGGCAUUAACUGACGCUGAGGAGCGAAAGCAUGGGGAGCGAACAGGAUUAGAUACCCUGGUAGUCCAUGCGUAACGUAGGCGACUAGUGUGGGACGAUCUACGUUCCGUCGCGUAGCUACGCAUAGUGCCGCCGUCGGGAGGUACGGCCGCGACGGACGUAAACGUUAAACGUAAGUAGUAGACGCGNGAGACGCGACGACGACGACGACGGAGGGAGGAGG
rnacentral:rRNA from 1 species